UACGUAGGGUGGCAAGCGUUAAUCGGAAUUACUGGGCGUAAAGCGUGCGCAGGCGGUUUGUAAGUCUGUCGUGAAAGCCCGGGCUCAACCUGGGAAUUGCGAUGGAGACUGCAAGGCUUGAAUCUGGCAGAGGGGGGUAGAAUUCCACGUGUAGCAGUGAAUGCGUAGAGAUGUGGAGGAACACCGGAUGGCGAAGGCAGCCCCUGGGUCAAGAUUGACGCUCAUGCACGAAAGCGUGGGAGCAAACAGG
rnacentral:rRNA from 1 species